GGAGAGGAUCGGACGGUCGCCGGUUUGCGCCAGCAGACGGGAGGAAAGUCCGGGCACCGCAGGGCAGGGUGGUGGGUAACGCCCACCGACCGCAAGGUUAGGGAAAGUGCCACAGAAAACAAACCGCCGAUGGGGAAGGAGCUGUUGGCCGUUGGCCGCUCGGCAGAGACUCAAAAUGCCAACAGCUAACAGCUUCUUCCCACAGGCAAGGGUGAAAAGGUGCGGUAAGAGCGCACCAGCAGGCGGGGCGACUCGCCUGGCUUGGUAAACCCCACCCGGUGCAAGGCCAAACAGAGAGCACGAGUCGGCUCGGCUCGCUACGACUCUCGGGUAGGCUGCUCGAGACGGCAGGCAACUGCCGUCCUAGAGGAAUGACCGUCGGUCGCCGCCAGGCAACCACAGAACCCGGCUUACAGAUCCCCUCCAGGG
rnacentral:RNase_P_RNA from 1 species